UACGGAGGGUGCAAGCGUUAUCCGGAUUCACUGGGUUUAAAGGGUGCGUAGGUGGGUUGGUAAGUCCGUGGUGAAAUCCCCGGGCUUAACCUGGGAACUGCAUUGGUGACUGGCAGGCUAGAGUAUGGCAGAGGGGGGUAGAAUUCCACGUGUAGCAGUGAAAUGCGUAGAGAUGUGGAGGAAUACCGAUGGCGAAGGCAGCCCCCUGGGCCAAUACUGACGCUCAUGCACGAAAGCGUGGGGAGCAAACAGG
rnacentral:rRNA from 1 species